rnacentral:rRNA from 1 species
UACGUAGGGGGCAAGCGUUAUCCGGAUUUACUGGGUGUAGAGGGAGCGUAGACGGCAAUGCAAGUCUGGAGUGAAAGGCGGGGGCCCAACCCCCGGACUGCUCUGGAAACUGUAUAGCUGGAGUGCAGGGGAGGUAAGUGGAAUUCCUAGUGUAGCGGUGAAAUGCGUAGAUAUUAGGAGGAACACCAGUGGCGAAGGCGGCUUACUGGACUGUAACUGACGUUGAGGCUCGAAAGCGUGGGGAGCAAACAGG